rnacentral:sRNA from 12 species
UGCAGGUAUGCGCGGGACCAACUUCAGGUUGCUCGCAAGAACGGCAGCCCCAAGAGGGUGGGAUCCUGAAGCCCGGGACCUGCUUUUUU